GUAUCCCGGAGUUGAUGCAAAACCGGAAAUAGUAAUGCCUAAUUAUGCAUAGAAACCGCUGAAAUCUGAGCCUAAGUACACUCGCACGAGACAUCGAACUCGUGAAACAAUCUACGUUUAAAAUAUGGCUUUUAUAACUGGAAUACUACGGAAAAAACAAGGUUAAUACUCAAAACUAUCGGAACAUAGGAUGCCGGAAACACUGACAAAAGAGCAAUGGGAACAAGACGCAAAAUGGAGAGUCUACCUAUAUACCGAGGUUGGGUUUUACAAUUAUGUUUUUCACAUAACUGCACAUGGAGAGUCUACCUAUAUACCGAGGUUGGGUUUUGCAAUUAUGUUUUUGACAUAAGUGCGAAAUUGAGAGUUCAUCUUUUAUAGUGGCGUCUGUACCAUGAGGGUACAGAUGUACCCUUUCUAGCCCAAACAUUUAUUCCAUUUUAGAUUGCAGAACAUGUCUUAACGAUUCAACUUUUUAAACUCUUUGUAAAUACUCAAGUGCAGUAAACGCGCGCAUAUGU